rnacentral:misc_RNA from 1 species
GAUGAAGAACGUAGCGAAAUGCGAUAAGUAAUGUGAAUUGCAGAAUUCAGUGAAUCAUCGAAUCUUUGAACGCACAUUGCGCCCCCUGGCAUUCCGGGGGGCAUGCCUGUUCGAGCGUCUCCAGGACGAAUCCUCGCGCGAGUGAACGCGCGGUCGUGGCGGAGGUGGCGUGCCCGAGCAGGGCGGCCACCGCGCUGGAAUCCAUGGGCGGACGCCUGCCGCGUGGCCGAGCGUGAUAUGACGCAUUGGCGCUCGUGCGCGGCGAGGCUGCCAGCCCUGGCCCGUCUGUCGGGCGGGGUAGAUCAACACGUGGGAACUCCUCGAGUCAGGUAGGGAUACCCGCUGAACUUAAGCAUAUCAAUAAGCGGAGGA